rnacentral:rRNA from 1 species
GAGUUUGAUCAUGGCUCAGAUUGAACGCUGGCGGCAGGCCUAACACAUGCAAGUCGAGCGGAUGACGGGAGCUUGCUCCUUGAUUCAGCGGCGGACGGGUGAGUAAUGCCUAGGAAUCUGCCUGGUAGUGGGGGACAACGUUUCGAAAGGAACGCUAAUACCGCAUACGUCCUACGGGAGAAAGCAGGGGACCUUCGGGCCUUGCGCUAUCAGAUGAGCCUAGGUCGGAUUAGCUAGUUGGUGGGGUAAUGGCUCACCAAGGCGACGAUCCGUAACUGGUCUGAGAGGAUGAUCAGUCACACUGGAACUGAGACACGGUCCAGACUCCUACGGGAGGCAGCAGUGGGGAAUAUUGGACAAUGGGCGAAAGCCUGAUCCAGCCAUGCCGCGUGUGCGAAGAAGGUCUUCGGAUUGUAAAGCACUCUAAGUUGGAGGAAGGGCAGUAAGUUAAUACCUUGCUGUUUUGACGUUACCGACAGAAUAAGCACCGGCUAACUCUGUGCCAG